GCUAUAAGAAAACACUUCAUAUAAUAAUAAUUGCAAAUUCUUAAGUUUAUGUAAGUUUACAGAUAUUAAAUGGAUUUCAUGAAAAUUUGUAUCUACUUUACGCUAUUAACGGUGCUAGUGUCGUGCAGUCCUCACGAAAAGGAAUCAAGAAUAAAGAAAGGCAAGACUGUUGACGGCAAAAGUUAUCCAUAUGUGGCUAAAAUUGAGAAAUCAGGGAAGCAGGUUUGCACUGGUGUUCUUAUAGACAAAAAUUGGGUUUUAACACUGAAGAAAUGCAUUGACGAGAGUUCGUUGGCAAAAUACAAAGUACAGUUCAUGCAAGGUGACAAAGAAAAGUUUCUUCAACUUAAAAUAAAGAAUUAUCAGG